rnacentral:misc_RNA from 1 species
GAUGAAGAACGCAGCGAAAUGCGAUAAGUAAUGUGAAUUGCAGAAUUCAGUGAAUCAUCGAAUCUUUGAACGCACAUUGCGCCCGCCAGUAUUCUGGCGGGCAUGCCUGUUCGAGCGUCAUUACAACCCUCAGGCCCCCGGGCCUGGCGUUGGGGAUCGGCGGAGCCCCCCGUGGGCACACGCCGUCCCCCAAAUGCAGUGGCGGUCCCGCCGCAGCUUCCAUCGCGUAGUAGCUAACACCUCGCGACUGGAGAGCGGCGCGGCCACGCCGUAAAACACCCAACUCUUCUGAAGUUGACCUCGAAUCAGGUAGGGAUACCCGCUGAACUUAAGCAUAUCAAUAAGCGGAGGA